rnacentral:rRNA from 1 species
UACAGAGGUCCCAAGCGUUGUUCGGAUUCAUUGGGCGUAAAGGGUGCGUAGGCGGCGCGGUAAGUCGGGUGUGAAAUCUCGGGGCUUAACUCCGAAACUGCAUUCGAUACUGCCGUGCUUGAGGACUGGAGAGGAGACUGGAAUUUACGGUGUAGCGGUGAAAUGCGUAGAUAUGUGGAGGAACACCGAUGGCGAAGGCAGCCCCCUGGGCUAACACUGACGCUCAUGCACGAAAGCGUGGGGAGCAAACAGG